rnacentral:rRNA from 1 species
GAUGAACGCUGGCGGCGUGCCUAAUACAUGCAAGUCGAGCGAACAGACGAGGAGCUUGCUCCUCUGACGUUAGCGGCGGACGGGUGAGUAACACGUGGAUAACCUACCUAUAAGACUGGGAUAACUUCGGGAAACCGGAGCUAAUACCGGAUAAUAUAUUGAACCGCAUGGUUCAAUAGUGAAAGACGGUUUUGCUGUCACUUAUAGAUGGAUCCGCGCCGCAUUAGCUAGUUGGUAAGGUAACGGCUUACCAAGGCAACGAUGCGUAGCCGACCUGAGAGGGUGAUCGGCCGCACUGGAACUGAGACACGGUCCAGACUCCUACGGGAGGCAGCAGAAGGGAAUCUUCCGCAAUAGGCGAAAGCCUGACGGAGCAACGCCGCGUGAGUGAUGAAGGUCUUCGGAUCGUAAAACUCUGUUAUUAGGGAAGAACAAAUGUGUAAGUAACUAUGCACGUAUUGACGGUACCUAAUCAGAAAGCCACGGCUAACUACGUG